rnacentral:rRNA from 1 species
CCUACGGGUGGCAGCAGUGGGGAAUAUUGCACAAUGGGGGAAACCCUGAUGCAGCGACGCCGCGUGAAGGAAGAAGGAUUUCGGUAUGUAAACUUCUAUCAGCAGGGAAGUAAAUUACGGUACCUGACUAAGAAGCCCCGGCUAACUACGUGCCAGCAGCCGCGGUAAUACGUAGGGGCAAGCGUUAUCCGGAUUUACUGGGGGUAAAGGGAGCGUAGGCGGCGAUGCAAGUCAGAAGUGAAAGCCCGGGGCUCAACUCCGGGACUGCUUUUGAAACUGUGUUGCUAGAGUGCAGGAGAGGUAAGUGGAAUUCCUAGUGUAGCGGUGAAAUGCGUAGAUAUUAGGAGGAACACCAGUGGCGAAGGCGGCUUACUGGACUGUAAAUGACGCUGAGGCUCGAAAGCGUGGGGAGCAAACAGGAUUAGAUACCCCAGUAGUC